CAGGAGCUGUGGUAGGCAUUGCUGGGAGGGCUACUGAAGUAUAUAAGGGAAACACACAAAGGGAUGGAGCAGUAAACAGAGAAUCAACGGGAUCUGGGGGAGGAUUCAGGGGGGUGCGGUUCUCAGGUGACUAUUUAGCCAAUGAUUGGACAGG